rnacentral:lncRNA from 1 species
AGAGCGACGUUGAUUUGACCAAUAGGUCUGUGCAAUGUCACUGAUGGACGGUAGAGCGCACCAACCGAAAGCCAAUUGAAUAAUGAGUGACAUGUGCAUCAGCCAAUUGGAGGGAGGCAAAGUCCCGCCCGCUGGGUGGUUGAUGUACAGCAACAGGAAGCUGGAAGGGGAGGGGCUUAGCCGAAGAGUGCUUUUGUAUUGGUCGAGGUUGACCUUCCACCCACCUCUAACCCAGAGGAUGAAUGAUAGAUCUGCCCUGAAGCCAAUCAGAAGUCCUUAGGGUGAGGCCCACAAAUGCCCCAGAAAUAGCAUAUACAUUGCGCCCUAAGUCCAGUCUCGCCCAGGUGUGGCAGGAGCUUUUACCUGCUCUUCGGCAGUAGCCGGCUGCCACUCAACCCCAUGCCUGGUUGUCCUCAUCUAAUCCGUCAGUACCAGACAGUGAACAUCUCUCCCCCAGGAUGCUGAGGGAGGGUCCUGGAGGGAAGGAUGUGGAACUACAGCCUCUGCUCUCAAGAAGCUCAGAUC